CUCCAGUGGAAUGCAUGUCCUUCUGGGAAAGAUUCAUCGGUAUGGGAUGGGGUCGCGUCCUAUCAGCUUGAUGGCGGGGUAACGGCCCACCAUGGCUUCGACGGGUAGCCGGCCUGAGAGGGCGACCGGCCACAUUGGGACUGAGAUACGGCCCAGACUCCUACGGGAGGCAGCAGUGGGGAAUAUUGCACAAUGGGCGCAAGCCUGAUGCAGCGACGCCGCGUGCGGGAUGACGGCCUUCGGGUUGUAAACCGCUUUUGACUGGGAGCAAGCCCUUCGGGGUGAGUGUACCUUUCGAAUAAGCACCGGCUAACUACGUGCCAGCAGCCGCGGUAAUACGUAGGGUGCAAGCGUUAUCCGGAAUUAUUGGGCGUAAAGGGCUCGUAGGCGGUUCGUCGCGUCCGGUGUGAAAGUCCAUCGCUUAACGGUGGAUCCGCGCCGGGUACGGGCGGG
rnacentral:rRNA from 1 species